GUGUCCUGAAGCAUUGCCUUGUCCAGGAUAGACCAAUAUUUUGUUCUAUGUAGACCUUCAGUCUCUGUCACAUCAAGUCUUGAACUAAAAUAUGCAUUAAUAUUGAUCUAUCAUUAAUACCAAAAAGGACCUUCUGACCCCUGCCUACGGCUUGGUGAAAACGAAGGAGAGCGCACUAUUUCUGCUUGUUUAACAGAUGGCGAUGUCCCACAGAGCAAGAAUCUUUAUCUUCUGCCAACUUACCAGUUUCCCUGGACCAUUUCUGAGCAACUAAUUCUGGAACUGCACUGAGAUGGCACUGUGUGCUCUACACAUGAUACCCACUACCCAUACUGAAACAGAAAUUAAUCAUCCUUUGAGCAUUCCAUGAUUUUGAAAUCAAGCUUAUUCAAAAGAACUUCUCUAAAGCUCCCUUCUUUUUUAGAGUGGGACUAAGGCCCACAAUCUACAGCCACUUUCACAAAAAAAAAAAAAAAAAAAAACCAAAAAAAAACAAAAAAAAAACAAAAAAAAACAAAAAAACAAGAAAAGAAAUAUUAAUGAAACAGUUUCAGAGGUGGCCUUUUAGUUUUGGAUUUUAUUUGGACCACUUAAAGAAGUAUGGGUAUGUCCUGCUUGUUGGAGAAGAAGAGAUUCAAAGACAUCUCUGCCACUGAAAUGCACCUAGUAUAGAUGAUGGCUUAUGAAGCUGGAACUUUGAGUGUAUACACAAUGUCAGGCAGCUCAACAGGUUGUGGUGUCUUCCUGGCAGUUUUCGAGCAGCCUUUAGUACUGGAAGAUGCUAAAGCAUCAGCAAUGGGGAAUUUCUACUUUCUAGCCACAUCUAUCAAAGCUGAGACCCGAAAUAGCCCUGGGACUCCCAUGGUCCGUCACAGGGUCUGAGGUUAGUUUGCUUGUGAUCUACCACCUUAUCUUCAAACAGAAGACUCCAAAUGUUUAUGCCUUCUGCAAUUUUUUUCCCCUGACUUUUAUGUCAGUUGUGCCCUGGUAUGUAAUUCUGUGCCUUUGCCACAUUUUGACCCAGUCCAUGCAUAAGGUUUGCCCUCAGUUUAUCCAAUACCAUCGGAUUCAGUGGCCUUCUGUCAUCUGUUCUCCACACAAUCGCCUGGCCUCAGCACUGUGGGGCUGGCUGCCCUCCAGAUCCUCAUCCUGGAAGCAGCUGUCCUCACAAGGAGAGAGGAGCUUGGUUCAUCUGUAAAUAUUUUCAAGGAGCGGGACUCAAUGUCACAAAGAGGUCAAGGCUUCAGUCAUGUGGGAAGAGUGACAUGAUAGCAUAUGAGAAACGAUUAAACUUAGCAGGCAGUACUGUGCCUCUAAAGUGACAGAGACCUAAAGCGAACCAGUGUAUAUUAGAAGCCUUGCCUUACUGUCUUUCUAGCUAGGCUCUCCAAAUUCAACCUUAAGAUACUCGUGAUGUUGCCUGGAGCAUUUCAGUGAGCUCUUUGUAAAGCUUGGUUCUUCAGACCUCUCUUAAGUACUUUACAUAUACAAGGUUAGGAUGUACCCCUGAAGUAAAGAGAGUAUCAAAUAUUAGCAGAUACAGGCUCAGGGAGUUUGCCUUCUAUUUAGACAAUUUUGGUGAAUUCUAGUCUCCACACAGACUGGAAUAUUAAACAUGUCAUGAUGAAGUCGGAAGAAAUGGGCACCAAAGGAAAGGAUGGAUUAUUGUCACUGGGAGGAUUCAGUGUUAUGCAAGAAGUGGGUGUUGACAUGAAAUGUGGAUGAGUUCUUUUACCCUCUUGUAUGCUAGUGUCUGAGAUGUACAUUUCUUAGGAAGAACACAAUGUAAUGAAAAAUGAGGUGUGUUAUUUGAAGGUGAGUUAAUAUGGAGCAUCAUUGCUAGCAGUCAGAGCUGACUAGAGAAGAGCUCAUUCUGAAUGAAACGUAGAAAAGAGUUUGAUAGGCUAUGUGAGACCAUUUUGGAUGUCUAUCAAAGUUCACAUCAAUGAGAAACAUGCCCUGUGGAGAAGAGGGUCCCAAGGUCUAGGUUAGGAGUAAUAAACUACUCUUCUAACACUGCUGGAAGAAGAUGGAUGGACCACAAAGGCUCUGAGGACACACUACUUGAAUUCAAAUUUCAGCCUCUAGUUUUCUGUGUGUGCCGUUACGUUACAUGAAUCAUUUACUCUCUGUACCCACAGUGUGCUCAUGUGUAAAAAGAGGAUUAAAGUUGACCAAGUCUUCUUAAACUUUCAACUUGGACACUCAGCAUGCAAAGUAUAUAAACAAAUCAAAUGUUAUUAAUAAUAAAAGAUGACUUUAUUUU
ensembl:lincRNA Gm14033 predicted gene 14033